rnacentral:misc_RNA from 1 species
ACGAAUGGUCUCCGUACCUUCAAACCCCUCAAACCUGUGGACAUUUGAAAACGUGCUUCGGCGUUCAUGCGUCGCCUUUAUGCCGUAAAUCUGUCUUGUGUCUGAAUGCAAAGAAAAAGAAUCA